rnacentral:tRNA from 2 species
UCCCUGGUGGUCUAGUGGUUAGGAUUUAGCGCUCUCACCGCCGUGGCCCGGGUUCGAUUCCCGGUCAGGGAA